rnacentral:rRNA from 1 species
UACGUAGGGUGCGAGCGUUGUCCGGAAUUAUUGGGCGUAAAGGGCUCGUAGGCGGUUUGUCGCGUCGGGAGUGAAAACCCAGGGCUUAACUCUGGGCUUGCUUUCGAUACGGGCAGACUAGAGGUAUGCAGGGGAGAACGGAAUUCCUGGUGUAGCGGUGAAAUGCGCAGAUAUCAGGAGGAACACCGGUGGCGAAGGCGGUUCUCUGGGCAUUACCUGACGCUGAGGCGCGAAAGCGUGGGGAGCAAACAGG